GACGAACGCUGGCGGCGUGCCUAAUACAUGCAAGUCGAACGAACCGCGACUAGGUGCUUGCACUUGGUCAAGGUGAGUGGCGAACGGGUGAGUAACAUGUGCGUAACCUACCUCAUAGUGGGGGAUAACAGUCGGAAACGACUGCUAAUACCGCAUAGGACAUGGGAUCACAUGAUUCUGAGAGGAAAGGUGGCGCAAGCCAUCGCUAAGAGAUGGACCCGCGGUGCGUUAGCUAGUUGGUAGGGUAACGGCCUACCAAGGCGAGGAUGCAUAGCCGACCUGAGAGGGUGAUCGGCCACAUUGGAACUGAGACACGGCCCAAACUCCUACGGGAGGCAGCAGUAGGGAAUCUUCGGCAAUGGACGAAAGUCUGACGGAGCAACGCCGCGUGAGUGAAGAAGGUCUUCGGAUCGUAAAGCUCUGUUGUUAGGGAAGAACAGCGCAUAGAGUAACUGUUCUGCGUGUGACGGUAUCUAACCAGAAAGCCACGGCUAACUACGUG
rnacentral:rRNA from 1 species